GAUGAGCGCUAGCGACAGGCCUAACACAUGCAAGUCGAGGGGCAGCACGAGGUAGCAAUACUUGGGUGGCGACCGGCGGACGGGUGAGUAACACGUAUGCAACCUGCCCGUAAUCGGGGGAUAACCCGGAGAAAUUCGGACUAACACUCCAUGUAUCUGUAUUAUUGCAUGAUAAAACAGAAAACGCAAGGAUUACGGAUGGGCAUGCGGAUGAUUAGCUGGUUGGCGGGGUAACGGCCCACCAAGGCGACGAUCAUUAGGGGUUCUGAGAGGAAGGUCCCCCACAUUGGAACUGAGAAACGGUCCAAACUCCUACGGGAGGCAGCAGUGAGGAAUAUUGGUCAAUGGGCGAGAGCCUGAACCAGCCAAGUCGCGUGAAGGAAGAAGGUCUUAUGGAUUGUAAACUUCUUUAGCAGGGGAAUAAAGGUUAUUACGAGCUAAUAAUUUGCAGGUACUCUGCGAAAAAGGAUCGGCUAACUCCGUG
rnacentral:rRNA from 1 species